GGCCAUGGUGCAGGCCACGAAGAUCCAGCCCAAAACUGUCAUCAGGAAACCCCAGAUCUGGACCACACGAAUCUUCAUCUCUACUUCCUGUACUCAGAAGACGUCUACAUCCUGAGCUGAACGUCGACUUUUCAUCCAAAACAGAUGUCCAAGUGUCUUCAUACGCAGUUGCUCUUCUCAGAAAAAGGAGAGGACGAGUGCACCACAGUAAUGGAUGGAGGGACUCAGCUGCUGCAAUGACCCCAUCAGAGGUCAAUGAAUAGAAAGACAACAUCAUACACCGCCACAGUAAUAGUCAUCUCAGAACUCACCAUCCAGAGCCAGCAUUGAAGGAAAGUCCUUGCAGUUGGACACACCGGUGGAGUCAGUCACA